AUUGAACGCUGGAGGCAGGCCUAACACAUGCAAGUCGAGCGGAGCGGCGGACGGGUGAGUAAUGCCUAGGAAUCUGCCUGGGAGUGGGGGAUAACGUCCGGAAACGGGCGCUAAUACCGCAUACUAUCAGAUGAGUCUAGGUCGGAUUAGCUAGUGUGUGGGGUAAAGGCCUACCAAGGCGACGAUCCGUAACUGGUCGGAGAGGAUGAUCAGUCACACUGGAACUGAGCCCCGGUCCAUACGCCUCCGGGAGGAAGCAGUGGGGAAUAUUGUACAAUGGGCGAAAGCCUGGUCCGGCCAUGCCGCGUGGGUGAAGAAGGUCUUCGGAUUGUAAAUCACUUUAGGUUAGGAGGCGUUGCCAACAGAGUAAGCACCGGCUAACUUCGUGCCAGCGGCCGCGGUAAUAC
rnacentral:rRNA from 1 species